AAUUUUUUCUCAACUCUAAACUCUGUUAAUUUGUCUUGCUGCCAGCUUGCAACUCAUGGUGAUGUUGUAGAUGUUAAAGGACUGUCUAAAGGUCUUGUCUCUUGUAAAGUUUCGGAAUUUAUUUAUGCUAAUCUGAAGAAACUCAAGGUACUGAAUUUUAGCUUUGCUCUAAUUUAUUAAUGAUAAUUUGAAGAAGCUUAAUGGUUAGUUUCUUGUGAAGGUUCUAUUUUUAAUUAAACUGCUUGUGAACUUUUAAGAUUUCAUUGAUAAAAACAGAAAUAAAACAAUGGAACAUUUUAUUCAUAUAAAUAAACAGGUUAUGAUCUUACUUAUGUAGUGAAUUUUACACUGAUUACAUUUUAUUCAGUUUAAACUUAUUUAUAAUUUUACUAAUGUAGUGCAUAUGAGAGAUAAAGCAAUGGAGGAUCACAAGGAAUUUAAACUGAUUCUGAAUUCUUGUCAUGGUAUGAUAUUCUUAGUUGUGAAUUCUUGUUACUGAGUUGAAAACUGAUUUUGAAUUUUUGCAGUUAAGUUACUAUUUUUCUUUCUAAUUAGCAGCACUAAUAAUGUUAUGUUAAUAAAUUUGCAGGAUGCCUCAAUCUUUUACUGAUUUUUAGUGCACAAGAGAUUGGCCAUAUGUUCUUAACAAUUGACAACAAAACUUUGUAAUAUUUGAUACAUUUAAAUUUCAUUUAGGUUGGCUGUGAUGUGAGCUUUCAAUGAUGAAUAUGUUGUAAUAUUUUAUUGUAUUUAUAGUUCUAAUGCCUCUAAACUUUGGAAUUAUGUGGUCCAAUGGAGGAUUUAUUUUCGAUUUGUAUGUUAUUAAUACUUUAAUGCCUCCAAAGCUUGGAAAUAUGUGGCAUACUGGAGAAUUUAUAUUAUUAAGUUUUAUAUUUUGAUGUUCAGUUUAUCAGGGAGAAAAGAGGG
rnacentral:lncRNA from 1 species